AUGGAGUCACACAUCCAGGUCUUCAUAUUCCUGCUCCUCUGGAUGUCUGGUGCUGAGGGAAACAUUGUGAUGACCCAGUCUCCUGAAUUCAUGUCCACAUCUAUAGGAGACAGGAUUACCAUAAGCUGCAAAUCUAGUCAAAGUGUGAAAAGUUAUGUAGCUUGGUACCAGCAAAAAUCAGGGCAGCCUCCUAAACUGCUAAUUUAUGGUGCAUCCACUCGCCCCUCUGGGGUCCCUGAUCACUUCACAGGCAGUGGAUCUGGGACAGAUUAUACUUUCACUAUCAGCAGUGUGCAGCCUGAAGACUCUGCAGUUUAUUACUGUCAGCAGGGUUACAGAACUCCCACAGUGCUUUAG